rnacentral:rRNA from 1 species
AUUGAACGCUGGCGGCAGGCCUAACACAUGCAAGUCGAACGAGUGGCGGACGGGUGAGUAAUGUCUGGGAAACUGCCCGAUGGAGGGGGGUAACUACUGGACACGGUAGCUAAUACCGCAUACCAUCGGAUGUGCCCCGAUGGGAUUAGCUAGUAGGUGGGGUAACGGCUAACAAAGGCGACGAUCCCUAGAUGGUCUGAGAGGAUGACCAGCAACACUGGAACGGAGAGACGGUCCAGACUCCGACGUGAGGCAGCAGUGGGGAAUAUUGCACAAUGGGGGCAAGCCUGAUGCAGCCAUGCCGCGUGUAUGAAGAAGGCCUUCGGGUUGUAAAGUACUUUCAGCGAGGAGGCGUUACUCGCAGAAGAAGCACCGGCUAACUCCGUGCCAGCAGCCGCGGUAAUUC